UCUCAAUUCUAAUUAGGCUGGAGAUAACAUUAUGCAUUUUUUCUAGGUGGCUUUUUGUUACUGAACAAGAUAUUAAGGGCCUACCUUAAUUACAGAGCUUAAAGUGAUGUGUGAAUUUGUUGAAUACAGUGAGUUGGUUGAUGCGAUGAUAACAAGUAGUAAGUGCAGAGAACUAUGAAGUGGGAAAUAUGAUUGCUUAGAAAGGGUUAACACGACGAUUAUUUUACUUGCAAACAAGAUUGUGCAAGAGAUUCACGAAUGUAAUGAAGUUUUGAGUUUCUAUUCAAACAUUUAUUGACUAUUUGUUUUGUAUGUUUGGUAUUUAGACAUAGGUUGACGCUUAUUAGACUUUUGUUUGCGAACAUUGGAAUCUUUUGAAGAUGAUUGAUUGAACUUUUUAAUUGAAGUAAUUAUAUUAUGAAUU
rnacentral:lncRNA from 1 species